rnacentral:rRNA from 1 species
UACGAAGGGUGCAAGCGUUACUCGGAAUUACUGGGCGUAAAGCGUGCGUAGGCGGUUUGUUAAGUCUGUCGUGAAAGCCCCGGGCUCAACCUGGGAAUGGCGAUGGAUACUGGCGAGCUAGAGUACGGUAGAGGAGAGUGGAAUUCCCGGUGUAGCAGUGAAAUGCAUAGAGAUCGGGAGGAACAUCAGUUGCGAAGGCGGCUCUCUGGACCAGUACUGACGCUGAGGCACGAAAGCGUGGGGAGCAAACAGG